UACGAAGGGUGCAAGCGUUACUCGGAAUUACUGGGCGUAAAGCGUGCGUAGGUGGUUUGUUAAGUCUGAUGUGAAAGCCCUGGGCUCAACCUGGGAAUUGCAUUGGAUACUGGCAGGCUAGAGUGCGGUAGAGGAUGGCGGAAUUCCCGGUGUAGCAGUGAAAUGCGUAGAGAUCGGGAGGAACACCAGUGGCGAAGGCGGCUACCUGGACCAGCACUGACACUGAAGCACGAAAGCGUGGGGAGCAAACAGG
rnacentral:rRNA from 1 species